rnacentral:rRNA from 1 species
AUUGAACGCUGGCGGCAUGCCUUACACAUGCAAGUCGAACGGUAACAGGUCUUCGGAUGCUGACGAGUGGCGAACGGGUGGGUAAUACAUCGGAACGUGCCCGAGAGUGGGGGAUAACGAGGCGAAAGCUUUGCUAAUACCGCAUACGAUCUCAGGAUGAAAGCAGGGGACCGCAAGGCCUUGCGCUCACGGAGCGGCCGAUGGCAGAUUAGGUAGUUGGUGGGAUACAAGCUUACCAAGCCGACGAUCUGUAGCUGGUCUGAGAGGACGACCAGCCAAGCUGGGACUGAGACACGGCCCUGACUCCUACGGGAGGCAGCAGUGGGGAAUUUUGGACAAUGGGCGCAAGCCUGAUCCAGCCAUGCCGCGUGCGGGAUGAAGGCCUUCGGGUUGUAAACUGCUUUUGUACGGAACGAAAAGACUCUGGUUAAUACCUGGGGUCCAUGACGGUACCGUAAGAAUAAGCACCGGCUAACUACGUGCCAGCCGCCGCCGUAACAC